AGUGGCGGACGGGUGAGUAACGCGUGAGAAUCUACCUUCAGGUCGGGGAUAACCCCUGGAAACGGGGGCUAAUACCGGAUAGGUCGAAAGAUGAAAGGUUAACUGCCUGAAGAGGAGCUCGCGUCUGAUUAGCUAGUAGGUGUGGUAAGAGCGCACCCAGGCGACGAUCAGUAGCUGGUCUGAGAGGAUGAGCAGCCACACUGGGACUGAGACACGGCCCAGACUCCUACGGGAGGCAGCAGUGGGGAAUUUUCCGCAAUGGGCGAAAGCCUGACGGAGCAAGACCGCGUGGGGGAGGAAGGCCUUUGGGUUGUAAACCCCUUUUGUUAGGGAAGAAAAAAAUGACGGUACCUAACGAAUCAGCCUCGGCUAACUCCGUGCCAGCAGCCGCGGUAAUACGGAGGAGGCAAGCGUUAUCCGGAAUUAUUGGGCGUAAAGCGUCCGUAGGUGGCCCGGCAAGUCUGCUGUCAAAGACCACAGCUCAACUGUGGAAAGGCAGUGGAAACUGCAAGGCUAGAGUGCGGUAGGGGUAGAGGGAAUUCCCAGUGUAGCGGUGAAAUGCGUAGAGAUUGGGAAGAACACCGGUGGCGAAAGCGUUCU
rnacentral:rRNA from 1 species